UGCUGGAAAUUGGACCCGGGGGCCGCCGUGAAGCCGGGGAAGGAGGAGCUCCGCUGCUGCAGGAGGCGGACGGCGGUGCGCCGGCUGGCUGCGUCCUCCGCCGCGGGGUGUGUGCAAGUCCUGCAAGGAAAACCGGUGGCCGGGCUCCCCGGCGCCGGCCCUCCGAUGCCUAAGUCAGAGGGGGCAAGUAUGUGGAGAGAGCGGGGGAGAGGAAGUGUAUGGAGAAGACACAGUAUUUUAUCAGAUCAAGAAGACAAAGGGAAUGAUGUCAUCAAUUGUGUCUGUGCUUCCCGGAGGGUUCAGUCCCGGGGGUCUGUUUCCGUUUUUGUUGUCGUCCCCCCCUUGGUUCUCCCAGGUUCUCUUUUAUAGGAGGGGAUUACGUUACCUGGGAGGUGACCGGGGGAUUUGUCCCUGUCCGUAANNN
rnacentral:lncRNA from 1 species